CGCUAAUUUGACUACUUUUCUGCUCUCAGCAAAACUCUAUACUAUUUUCAGUACUGAUGGGAGGCACCGGUGCUGAACUUGGUAUUAAACUCCUUUAAACAAUCUUCUCUAAGUUAAGUAUGGCUUUAAAUCCUCAUAUUUCAUCUGCAGGACAAUGUUUGUUCUUAUUAAUGAGAAAACAUUUGGCUUCAUUUCAAACAAAUACUGGGGUCUAUUGCAUUAAACCACUUUCUUGCUGAUUAAUAUUUGUACUAAGAUACAACCCAUGGUACUUCCUGUAUCUGUGCAUCUGACACAAAUCAUUUACAACUGACACAAUGACUGGUGCUUAUCAUAAGGUGAAGUUUCUAGUGUUGCUCUUACGGUAAAUAAACUGUUGUAAGGGAAGGAGCUUCCUAAUACUUAUUAAGAAAACAGAAUCGCAACAAUAUUGUCCAGGAUAAUCGUCUAUACACUACAGAUGGGGUGAAUAACGUUGGAAUACAAGCUCUUACAGAAAGACAUGCAGUUCAGGGUCAAGUCAAUUUCAGGUGGCUUUUAUUAUCGUUCUUCUAUACAGCUCAUAUAUGAUAAAAUGAAAGGUUAUUGUCCCCGAGACUUCAUAAAGGGCAGAUACUGUACUGUAUAUAACAGAGCAUCUGCAAAUGACUGUGCAUCUGGGAUGAAAACACAAUAAACACAUAGAACAAUAAAUAAAUAGAUACAGCGAAGGUUAAAGAAGCAGGGCAUCAAAAUAGUGUUGUAUGUUGUACUGUAUGUCAGCAACAGCAAAAGGAGAAAGAAUAUCAGUUUCUAUAGUCAAUAUGCAACUAUGUAGGGAUGUGGAAGCCUAGCGGUUAAGGUGUUGGACCACUGAUCGGAAGGUCAUGAGUUUGAAAUAAAUUGUAAGUCUGCUAAGUUUGCUAAAUGCAGUAAAUGUAAUGCUAAAUUUGGUUUUUCAACCUGAUCUCGGCUGCCACAUCUGUGGAGUACACAUUAUGGACAUUAUAUAAAACUAUGACAAUAAAUAAGGCAUUAAAACUAUUAGUUUCUCGUCACUGAGAAAAGUACGAAAACCCUGCGUAAACAAAGCUAAUUAACAUUGUCAAUUUAGCUCAUAAUACACUUGGAUGUUAACGUUUAAUCAACAGGUUUCCUUUUUUUUUAUUAUUACUAUUAUUACUUCAGAGACAACAUUGCAAUUAUAAGUGGUUUUUGAGUAAACCGGACUCCUGUUCUUUCCAUAGUCAGAGAAACGGAGUUGCAAAUUUGUUUAGAACGAAAUAAAGAAUGAUUUAAAAUAAACGCCAUAAUCUCAAAUUUCAGUGCUCUGAUAAAUCUCCUGUUUCACUAAAGCAUUUCAAAGAGAAUGCAAGCUGUUGGAGUUUGCAAACACAAUCCAAUAAGAAGUGAAGCAAAAACAUACCGGGUCUGCCAAGUGAAGUGAACGUAUUGCACACAAUGCACUUUUUUUUGCUUCCAAAUGUCCAUAAUGUCAACAGUGUCCCAUGGGUGUCUCAUUGAGCUCUAAAUAAGUUACACAUUGCUGUAAGUAGAUUAUGAAUGGAUCGUCUUUAGUUCUAUAAUUUCACUAAAAGAACAAAGAUAGGUAUCUUAAAAUAUGAGACCAUCUGUAAUAGCAGUGCAUGUGAGUGUGUGUCUGUGUGUGUUGUGUGAAGGUUACAGCUGGAGGACGAUCACCUCAGCGUAGUCCAGCUGGACCUCUCGCAUAGGCCUCUCUUGUGUAAAUGCCUAAACACGUGCAUCUGUGAAAGUCUACUGCAUAAACACAAAUGCAUAUGGAAAAUGUGGACACAUGGAAAACCACAGCUGGAUUUGAAUGACAAAACACAGACAUAGACAUAGACACACCAUGCUUUUAAACCUGGCACAGAGAUGCAGCUGCUGCAGUCUAGUUAGGAUCUGUGCCAUGCUGUUACAAUUCAGUAAUGAUUUCGAUUUAAAACAAAUCCCUUUUCCUGAUAGGUGAUCUAUUCUACAAACCCUCUGUAUAUUCAUUACUGUAAGAUCUUUAAUGGUUGAAUGAGCUCUUCAAUAAUAGCUGAUAUUAGAUAUUAUUUACACAUUUGGGAAAUAUAUUCUCUUGAUGGUGAUUAGAGCUUUUAGAUAUGUCUUUUGUGAUGCAACAAAUAUUCUCCUUUUCGAUGUAAAGCUCAAACAAGUGACUGACUUUCAUCAUACCAACAUAUUGUCAAAUCUUUGCAUAGUAAGACUAAUAAUUUGAUUAGAAUUCUGUGAGACAACAAGCGCUAGCUUUGUGAAAAAGCCGAGGUCAUGCUCUUGUCUGACUCUAUGCCAGAUACAUCAGUCUUCAAUUUCAUUCAAAGCUUAUUCCAUUUGUAUACAAACCGAAAUAUGAUAACAGGCAAAUAGGGUGAUGUGCAUCCAAGUCAACAAGCAGGACAACUAAUUUCACGUCAUCUAGGGAAUGACGAGUCAGAAAUAAAAGACUGACAAUAUAAAUGAAAGCAAUCCACGUUCCCGACCUUUACAGACAACCACUUGCCCUUUUCCAACCUUUGACUGGGGACUGGUUCUAAAUUAUUUAUGAACAUUUUAUUCCAGGCUGUAUGUGCAAUAAAUGCCCAGUCAUGUAGGUUCCUAUAUCAUUUCUAGGAUCACUUUUUUUUUUGUGAGUGAUAAAGGACAUGCAGGGUAACCAGCGCCUGGUCAGGCGUUAAGAAUCUGAUCGAUAUCAGACUGGGAAGAGUGACAAUGUACCAGUCGCAUUUUAGUACGGCCCAUUGAGCAAGAGCUGAUUGUUGGUCCUGAUGCUCAGAACACAGUCAGCAUGAAAGCAGUGAGCACCAGAACUACAUUUUACACCAGCUUUGUAGCCUUCACUUCAGAUAACAGACUGUAUAUAAAAGAACAGGUCUUAUCACUGUUUCACAUAUGUAGACAGACCUUGACAUAACUAUACAGUACAUUAUGCAUAGAUAGAGGGAUGAUUCAACAGCUCAUGGUUUCUUCCUCAUGUAUCAAACUUGUUCAUUAGGAAUCUACAGCUACGUCUAUAUUUAUUCAAAGCUGUGUUUAUUAGUGAAAGUCCUAUAUAACUUGAAUGAACUGAGUAGAUGUGAAAUCUCAGCCAUUUAAGAGCGGAAAACCUGCACUCGAAAUUUGUUGGCCUUCACAGUGAAGGAAAUAAGUAUUCAAAACAUGAUUCAUUUCUAUUAAUGUAGCUAUUCACAUGAAAUAUAGAAGCACACACACACACACACACACACACACACACACACACACACACACACACACACACACACACACACACACACACACACACAAAGAUGUGAAAGAUGUGAUUUUAUUCAAAAGGUGCUCAGUGACAACAUCCAAGUUAGAACGAAAGGUGAAAUGUAGACAGACGAUUGGGGGCUGAACAGGCCAACAGGCAGACAGACAUGUCUUUGUGUCUGGAGUAGAUGCGUCUGGGUGAGAGACCCACUCAGGAGAGAGAGAGACAAGAGAGUAGCUUCGCUCUUCGCUAACGACAUUAAGUGUUUGGAUGAAUGAGCCGGACCAGGAAAUGGAGUCAAAAUCUGUUUUACUGUAGCUUUGAUAAAUGCCGUGCAUUCUAACGCAAAACCAAUGACAUGAUUUCUCACAAAGUAAGUAAACAGUGUUUGUUCAAAAGGGCACAUUUUCACACAGCGUCAGUGAUUAGUGUGUGUAACAUCUUGAAAAGUUUGUAAAUCUAGAAAAAUAUCUUAUUUUCUAAAUCUCUAAUUUAGCCACAACCAACUCAGUGUAACACUAGACAUCUAGCUUUAUUUAAAACCCUAAAGAACAUAUUUUAUUAGCUGUGCUAACUAGCACACUGUCCAAAUCUACUGUAUAGCUUAACUUACUAGCUACAGUUUCAUCAAGACUUCAGGCAAUUCAGUCUAAAAAUUUGCAUAAUGGUUCAUUUUAAACUCAGUUUUAGAAAUUAGCUAAGCUUUGGUGGUAAUAGGUGGUAAUUCUGAUCUGUACAGUGUCCUACCUGUCUUGUCUUAACCGUUACAUGUGAUUUAUGUUAUAACACAAGUCAUUUUUAUUUAUUAAGAAUCAUAGUUUAUCUGGUAAUAGUUGAAAAGAGACAGAACAAGAGAAAUAUCAAUAAAGUUGUAUUUAAAAAAGCACAAAUAAUACAGUAGGCUACAUUGGUAAAAAGUAAGGUUGCUAACUAGCUUUUGCUUUAAGGCCUUAUAACAACAUGGCAAAUAAUCGCUCUGGUCUGGCAUUUCCAAGCUCUGGCCAAGGCUUUUACACACAUUUAGACACACCUAAGAUAAUUGUUAAAGUCAAACAGACAGUUCAAAUAGAUCUUGCCUGUUCUCACAUCCGCAGACUGCAUAGCAUAGCUGUGUAUCUGGCUACAGUGGAGCUUAAACUGGAGCUUGCUAAACACAAUCCAGAAGGGGACAGAGACUUUGACAAAGGCAGCUCAGCAGCGUGUACCCAUUAUUGUAUGCUUCAUCCACCAUUAUCUGUCCUCUUCCUCACAGCUAGGCUUUAUCAGGACCUCACAGUUACCCUCUAUCUGCCCCUCCAUGAUUCUCCAUCUCCUUCUCCUCACUCUCUCAUGUCACCACACUCUCCCACCACUGUGUUAUUCUCGUUCUGUGUCUGUGCUGUACUCAGUAAUUCUUCUCACCUUUCUGGUGAAGGUCUCUGAAGAUUGUGGAGAUUUAGAGAGAGGGAGAAUAUAAGCAUGAUGUGUCUGUGUGUGUGUGUGUGUGUGUGUGUGUGUGUGUGUGUGUGUGUGUGUGUGUGUGUGUGUGUGUGUGUGUGUGUGUGUGUGUGUGUGUGUGUGUGGACUCAGAAACCUACACAUGUAUGAAUCUACAGAUGAGACUCCAUUCUUGUGUAUGGCUACAAUAACUUCUUGUCAUGUUUUCAGAUGGUACUGUUUACCAUUUGUAAUAUCAGCUUCAAUAGGGCAGUACAAUGGGUAACAUUGUUGCUUCACAACUCUAGGGCCCCAGGGUCGGUCCUGGUUCAUUUAACACACACAGAAGUUUCCCAAGUGAAGUUUCCCAAGUUCACUUGCAUCCAUUUUGAUUUCCUCUGGGUUCUCCAAGUAAGUGGCUCAGCCCCAAAGCUAUCUUAAUAGGCUCAAGAUCUACCUGAUCUGGAUAAAGCAGUAACUAAAGAUGAAUGAAUGAAUGAAUGAAUGAAUGAAUGAAUGAAUGAAUGAAUGAAUGAAUGAAUGAAUGAAAGAAAGAAAGAAAGAAAGAAUGAAUGAAAGAAAGAAAGAAACUUGUCAUUAUAAAUUCUUUACAUUCAAGUGCCCUGAAAACUUUAGGUAGUUAACUAGCCUCAUCUUAUUUGGUAAACUAAUAAUCUGUUCAUUUUUAUCUUAUUGUAACUAUUUUAUCCUGGCCGUUGUUAUGGUGCGUCUGGAGCAUUGGUACUACAUAGGUGCAAGAUAAGAGAAUUGACCAUGGGCACCAUUCAUUGCAGGGCACAAUUCACACACAAACAUCCACACACUCCUAUCUCACAUACAAGCAAUUUAAUCUAGAUAAAUUUAGUCCACCUAUUUGUAUGUUUUUGGACAGUGGAAAGAAAACAGGAAGCCUAGAAGAAACCUACAUGAACACAGAGAAAACAUGUGAAAAAUUCAAAAGACUAUCGCUGUGAUGAAAAAUUAACGCCGAUUAGAAUUUCAAGAAAGCUUGUGCAAAACAUUUCAUUGGAGAACUUGAAUUUCAUGAGACUUCUGAAAGCAUAUAAAUUCAGCAUUAUUUCCUUCUGUGACAGUCAAAGUAAAAGUUAAUUAAAACUCACUUCCCUGACUGUGUUGCCUUUGCUAAUAUAAUACAAGCAUGGCAGACAUGAAGUAUUUCAUAUACAGUCUUCUACUCAAGACAGUGACCCUGUGUGAUAUUAGUUGCUGCAAGGCAAAUAAAAAGGCCUCCCACUGGCAGUCCAUCUGCACACACUGAAAACCAUGCCAUCUCUACGUUUACACAUACACAGAGCCCAAAUGCAACAUGGCCUCCAUGUCUCCUGCCAGUGUGUGAGAUCAAAUCAGACAAUCACUCUCAGUGAACACAAUCUGCUCGCAUAUGGAGCUGUGUCUUCAUUGUAGUGUAGUAGGAGUGCUGCUAGAAAUUGAAGCUCACUCCCUGUUAGCUCUCCCUCUAACGCCAUUUCAACGGAGGCAUAUCAAAUCUCAUUGACCGUAAGAGUAAAGAUGUUAAUGAUUUAUCAUCCAGCAGAGAAAGUGACACAAACACCAAGUGAGCAUUAAGAAUGGAAUGCAUUAAAUCAUGCAGAUGGGAAAAUGUAGCUCAGUGUACCAGUGAGAACAUUAGGUAGGUAAGGCAAUCUGUCAACACUACAAGUCUUAAUUUAGGUCGAGUAGACUUCAAUUUUCACUUUCAUCCCAGCCGUAUACGAGUAAUGUGCAGUGUAUGAUGUGAUGAAUUAUGGUUUCUCCAGAUCCAAAGCUUAAAGACACUACAUGUAUGAUAUAAACAUUGCCAGCAUGAGAUAAAUAAAGUAUGCACUGAGAGAGUAGGAGAAAGAGUAAGGGCGAGCAUACAGAGGGUCAGUAAAGCAUAAAUACCCCUAUAACAAAAAAAUAAAUAAACACGACAAUAAGAAGACAUUAAAGUAACUGGAAUGUCCAUAGCCACGACUGGAAUAGAAAUGCAGUUGAAAGCAUAAAGCGUCAGUACAGUAAUGAAUUAUAAAAGAGAACCAUGAGGCAUGAAGAUGCCAAGCUGGGUCAAUUUUCAAGGCAUGGGAGUUUUGUAAAGUGUUAUUUGUGCAUAUCUGUGUAGAAGAGACCACUUUGACCUACCUUAGUCAAGUAAGGUGAAUUUACAAAGGCAAUAAGAGGAGAGUGUUACAAUAUCAAUUACAGAAAAAAGCUCCACUUCAUUUUUCAUCAAGAAUUACUCUUUAAAGUCAAUAUGACAACUGAAACCAAACCAGAUCAAUCUUCUGUAAUGUGACUUUUUAUAAGGAGACAAAAACAGUGUAUGUUACAGCAGGAUUGGGAAAAUGGAUAUUGACCUAGUCUCAGACGAGUCUGAGGGGGCGAUAUGACACAUGACAUGAUGUUAUUCUGCAUGGUGACAUAGCCGAAACCUUCAGAAGCUGGGAAAUGUCACUGCAUUUUAAUGUAGGUUAUGCAAAAAAACAGAAUCUAGUCGUGUUAGUGAGAAAUUCUGAUGAGUUAUAAUAAAACAAGGGAUAGGAAUGAUUAAUGUUUUUAAAAAAAUAGUUUUUUGCCUUUAAGAGCUAACAGUGCAGAUAGACAAUAACCUAAAGCAUUCAUUGAAAAUCAACCGAAGAGAUCUUUAAAGCAAAUAAGUGCAAUGUGUAUCUUAUAGAACAAGAACAAACAUAGACUGAAGAAUGCAGGAAAAAAGGAACACUAAAUACCUGACAGGGCAUCACUAGGGCAGAAAGCCAGUGUCUGUUUCCAGACUUCAGGCGUUCACUGACUCCAAAGCAUUUGCAUCCUAUUAAACCAAAAUCCUGUACUGUAACCACUGAGUGUGAGGUGAGGGGGAUGUGAAACAUGACAUAUUAUUCUGUAUGCUUUCAUGCAGGCAGGGAAACCUCACUGCAUUUUAAUGCAGGUUAAACAAAAAGCAGAUUCUAGCCCUUGUGAGAAAUGAUGAGUCAUAAUAUAACAAGGGACAUGAAGGUGUAAGGUUUAAAACAAAAAAAAGGGACUUUUGCGGUGGAGUGUUGGCGUUGCAGUGUGCUCAGUAAGAAGUAAGAUUAGAGAGCUAAGCAGACACAUGCUCUCUCACUCCACCUCAGCUUUGCCAAAUGCAGAUUAUGUAUUACAUCCAUGGCUGUGCGCUGUCACAUGACCAGCAGCCUUAUUUGUAAGGCAAAGUAUUAGGCAUCAUGAAAAUAAUAUAAUCUUAGCAUUAUUAUAUCAUAUAUACAGUAUAAAACUUGUUGUAUAAAUAUUUGUAACACUUAGACAACAUUCUUCUAUUUUAGUAGUCUACCGGUGAAUAACUGAAGAGUACCACCUCAUCUAAUGGCAUGGUGAUGUACAGGAACUAGUUACCUUGGAUUUAGUGAUGAUGUGAAUUCCGAGACCCAUCGGGCGGCGUAUCACAGUGCAAAUGGACAAUGACCCAAAGCAUGCAUUGAAAAGCAACACAAGAAUUUUUUUAAGACAAAUAAGUGAAUUGUCCUUUUUUUAUGGCCAAAUCCAUCAACUGACCUGAAUCUAAUUGAUUAUGCAUAUUUCAGUGGCUGAAGGCAAAAUGUCCCAAGAACAAGCAGGAACUGAAGACUGCAGAAAAGAAAAACCCGACAGGUCAUUACCAGGGAAGAAACCCAGUGUCUGAUGAUGUCUGUGAAUAUGGGUUCAAGAUAUCAGACCAAGUAUAUUUGCUGUGCAGUCUUUAAUCAUCUGCUGCAGUAAAGAGUUCGAAGGAAACGCCUGCUCUGCUGACUUGUGCAGGGCAGUCAAUAAAAGAGCUGGACAUCAGGAAAGAAGAUAUUUCAUCUGUCCGCUGGCUGGCUGUCACAACAUGUUUGCCCCAGAAUUCAAUUUUAUCAAGGCCUUCUUUUGUCCCACUGUUCAGCUUGUUUGCUAUCACUGCUGGGAAAGGCUAGAUCUAAUCUAAUUAUAAGAAUAUUUGUGGAACAGGAAUGAGCAUAAAGUCUGUUCCAGGACACAGAACAUAAACAGACUCAUUCUAUAGCCCAAAGGUGCAGAAGAAGCAUAAGAUUCAGUUUCCGGUGCUUUCAGAAACUAUGAAAAUCUUAAUGGCAGUGAUGGAGGUGUUGAGCUUGUUGCCUUGGUAACAAGGCAGCCAUUGCAAAAGAGGUCUGACAGCUUUUUUAAUGCAGGCAUGGCCACAGGCAGCAGGUCGCCUGGCAACAAGGCUGAGAAGAGAGAGGGCCAUGGCACAGCCUUUGGGCAUUCAACCCAAUCAACCAGGAGACAGAAAAUCAGCGGGACAAAAAAGUGUGAAGGAAAACGUCAUCCACCAAGCACAGAAUUCUGAGUACUAGAGAGUCUGCUUGGCAAGUUAUAUGCAAAAACAAACUCUAUUAAUAAUCAAUUAUCGCUUUCUAAUGCUAAAAGUCUGUGUAAUCCAUACAUUACUACAGGGAUUCAGAAUGUCCCUGAGUUUGUAGUAGUUCUAUGUAUGACUUCUGUGUGAGAUACAAGCUCUUCUGACGACGGAAAUGUCUCUACUCCCUCUCUCUGAGCUCGACUGGGCCUCAUAAAUAAAUGAGGCUGGCAGUGCGGCUUAGACACCACUGCCUCUGGCUCACACAGGUCCCUGCAGGACACCGUGGGAUUUAUAGUCACAUUAUAUACAGUAUAGCACUAGCUCCAAGAGACAGAUAAUGUUAUUGCCUAGUUGUAUGGAGAUUUUUAUUUUCCAGAAUGAAAUAAAGACAUCCAUUUCUGUCCUA